GGGAGUCCCUCCCUCUAAAAGCACUCUGUGUGGGGAACAUGAGAGCCAGACCAAAGCUCAGAGCAAGAAACAUGGGAGAAGGAAAUGUAAACCUAAAUCUGAACCAGGAACUGGAUCUCCACCCAGCUGUGUGUCCUUUAAGAGUGAGGCGUCUAAAGAUGGCUGGAUUGAUUUUAAAGACCAGCCUCUGUCUGCUGCAGAGAGAGGUCAGAGGUCACAGUCUGCAGGGUCCAGCUGUCCGUCUGUGAGGAGUGACCGGUCCAAACCUCAACCUCCACUCUUCAGUGCUGAACCUGGACCAACGAGGUCAGAGAGCUGUGAUGACUCCUUUACAUGUUUGUGUUUCCUGGAUAAAUCUGACCUGAAACAUCCUCAGAUUGUUACAAAGAUUCAGGACAUCAGGACAACACUGAACCACAGUAUGGUGGAUAAAUCCCACCAUACUGAGCUCAGAGUUAAUCACAGGGAACAAAACCAGAUGUUACCUUCAGAUUGUGACCUUUGGAGUGGACGAUGCAGAUUUCAAUAGAGAAUAAAUGUUGUUGUUUUUCAGCUGUGAAAAAAGAAUCUAAUUUUCUGAACUUAAGAAUUUAUGAUGCUGGAAAAAACAUGGUGACAAAAACACAACAUUUCCACUGUAUUCAUAGAAUGAAUGUAAAACUGUCAGACAUUCAUUAAAUAUGCAAAAUGUCUACAGAAGCAUCAGAGGGUCAGAUGUGAAGCUCUCAGUGAUUUUGAUCAAAGGACUCAUCAGUUAUUGAUCUGUACUACACUGAUCUACCACGUUAGUAAAGCUGGUGUUCUGGUGGUGGAGGGAGACCUCGGAUCAUGUUCUGGUUUUGGAGCAGUGAUCUGCUGAUGGUUCAGUUUGUUGAGCUUCUUCACGGAUCAGUUGGCUGCGGUCGCGAGGUCUCAGAAUCUACUCUGUGAGCAAAAGAUUGACAAGACCACGGAAUUGAAGGUAAACAACAUCAUGGAGAAACUGACGGCUAUCCAACGGGAGAUGGAGAGAUCAGUGUCGGAGUGCUAAAACAAAAACAGUUCGAAAUUCUCUUGAGCUGUUGGAAAGAAAUCGCCAUCUUAAUGCGGCUACCCCUCCGGCGCCAGCUGCGGGCUCAAGGCUGGAGCCGAUCAAAACAAUCCCAGAUAACGAGUGUGUUUAGACUGUUCCUUCCCAUUCUAUGCAAGGCCACCUGGGUUGGCUGGAAGACUGUUUACUUAGCCUGGGAGGGCGAAGGACACUGUCUCCGCUGAACUAUGGACACGCACACACAUACACUUACACUGAUAAGCAUACACUGAUCCCCCUCCCUUUCCAAACGCCUUCGAUGCUUGUUUCCUGCGGGGGAACACGGCGGGUCUAUGUGCCGCGCUGGAAUGAUAGCGCUGUGCAGGGCGGCUGCUGUGUUCGCUUCGGAUGACUCCUCACCCCCCACCCAACCCCGUGGCUUGUCAUGUCCUUCAUAAUGUUGUGCUGUGGACAUUCAUGUGCUUUUUUGUGCAGAGGAGUUUUUUUGUUUCCUGUUCUCAUGCUGUCCUACCAUGGAAGCACAGCAUGAGUAGGGGUCUCUUUUUUUCCUCUUGUACUUUCCCAUUGUAAUGUACAUUUCAAUGUUUUUCUCUAAAUGCUACCUAUCUCCGACCUGUAUCCCCAUGUAAUGUCUGUGUUGUAUGUGUAAGGUCGGGGGGGGUCCUA